GGCGUGGUAGCAGAGUGGUCUAAUGCGCAAUAUUAAGAGUCUUGUUCCUUCGGGAGCGUCGGUUCAAAUCUAGCCUACGUCG